rnacentral:sRNA from 1 species
GCUGGGCAUGGUGGCGCAUGCCUGUACUCCCAACACUGGGAGGCUGAGGCUGGAGGAUCACCUGAGGUCAGGAGUUCAAGACCAGCCUGGUCAAUACAGUGAAAUCCUGUCUCUA